rnacentral:lncRNA from 1 species
UCCAAGUUCAUAGGAGAAUGAGGUGUCAUGGUUCACUAUCAACUGGAGCGGAACAUAUAGAACACAAAUGGAAAAGACGGAAAUGACACAGUAUAUGGAUCCCCGAAGUGCAGACUGUUCCACAGGCCCGUUAAUUACUGGAACGUCUGAACAAUGUUUUGGAAAAAAGGAAAAAUGAAAUAAAAAAGAUUGAUAGGAGAAAACAAAAACAAAAG